rnacentral:lncRNA from 1 species
AUGUCUCCCCUUCCCAGUACCCUACCUCAAGGAACUUUCUGCCCAGCUCUUCCUCUGUUACUACCAGAGCGUCUGUGUGCCGCCCCCCUGUUCGUCAGGCACCCCUUUCCCAGUGCCCUCCUAUCUUCCCCCCUCGCCCUCCUCAUAGCCCUUCCUGCUAGUUUCCUGUACUCUAGUCCCCACUCCCUAUCCAGCCACCCCCAACCAGACCUGACGACUUACAAAUCUCACCCUGGAGAAAUGAUUUCCCUCAUACUGGGGCAGUUCUCAGGAGGUUCAGAAUUGCCAGGACUGUGGAUUCCCAGCAACGACCUGGCAGACACGGGGAAUCCAAGACCAUGGCAAGCGAAUAUUCAGCCUGGCCUGCGCCUUUCCUCUCCUGCCUGGGCAGGCAGACUGCACAAGCGUCUGCAUUUGAACUGGCUUCUCCGUGGAACUUGGUCUGUAACCACAGAGCAAACUGUAGAACCAGGAGCAGAGAAGUUGAUGGCAAGCCUUUUUCCUGGCAGUAUCGAGAGGCAGUUCUAGUAAAGAGGCUGGAUUCCGAGAGGCCAGAGUGGUAUCAUACGAACGCUGUUGCCUGGAGGUGGAGUGGGGCGCCGUUGCCUAGAGACUGCAGGAGGCCUGCGGCCGAGCGAGUGGUAAGAGGACGCCAAGAGAGCGCCGGACCCACCGAGCAGCUCCAAGGCCAUGGCGGGACACCCGAAAGAGAGGGUGGUCACAGAUGAGGUUCAUCAGAACCAGAUCUUGCGGGAGCUGUACCUCAAAGAGUUACGAACCCAGAAACUCUACACUCAGUACCACGUGAAUCCCCUGCGCAAGGUUCACAGGAUUACGAGGAAGCCCAUGUCUUGGCAUGAUAACCUGGAGGAACCCGCAGACGCCAGGUUUCUGAAUCUCAUUCACCAUGCUGCCCAGGGGCCAAGGAAGAAGUACCCGGAGGCACAAACUGAAAACCAGGAAAUUGGGUGGGACUCAGAGCCCUUGGUCGACCCAGAACGCAGUGACCGUAGGAUGAACCACUUCAGGGUCUACAAUGACAUCACUCUGUACAAAGCUAAAAUGUGGAGCUUGGGAGAAGAUGAUCGCCACAAGUAGCAUUUCAGCAAUGGAGUCAGUUCCUGGAUUUAAUGUCCUAAAUAUCCGCUGCCUAGAAGAGUAAAUAUUACUUUAACCCCCCGUCCAUAAUUCAUGGAUAAUGGCAAAAAUUAGGAAGCAUAAAAAAAUGCGGAAGAAGGAAAUAAAAAUUGCCCAUUAUCUCACCAUAUGGAAGUGACUAAUAUUAGCAUAUUGAACCAUUUGUUUUUAAAAUUAAUAAUAAAUUGCAUAUAUUUAUUGUGUACAAUGUGAUGUUUUGAAAUAUGUAUAUAUGGUAGAAUGGUUAAAUCGAGUAUCUCACAUACUUAUUUUGUGGUGAGAGGACUUAAAAUCUAUUCUCUUAGGGAUUUUCAAGAAUACAAUACAUUGUUAUUAACUGUAGUCACUACAGUUAAUCUUGACAGCUCUCUUGAACUUAUUCCUCCAACUGAAAUUUUGUAUCCUUUAGCCAACAUCGCCCCAAUUCCUACCCCUAACCCCUGGUAAUCACCAUUCUAAUCUCUAAUUCUAUGAGUUUGACUUUUUUGGAUUUAGAAAAUGUGGUAUAUUUACUUAAUGGAAUACAAUUCGGCCUUAAGAAAGAAAGAAAUCUCGUCAUUUACAGCAACAUGGAGGAACUUGAAGGACAUUAUGUUAAGUGAAAUAAGCCAGGCACAGAAAGACAAAUACCACAUGAUCUCACUUAUAUGGUGAAUCUAAAUAUGCCAACAUGUUUGCAUACUUCUAUAUUUUUCUGUAUAUUUGAACUUAUUGAUCUUACAUUUUGAUUAAUAAAAGAUCGUAAGCAUAUAUUUUCAGACAGGUGGAGAAAACGGACAGGAAUAUGAUUCUACUUAUGUGGCAUGAACAUAUAAGAUUUGAUUAUGCCUCUUAUCCCCGUGUAAUUACAAAAUAGUGCCUUCUUUCACUCUCAAAAGUCUUAGUGGAAGCAAGUCUGAAGAAAGUUGGAGGAAAGGGUAGAGUUUUACAGGGAAGUUAAGGAAAGUUAAGAUAAAGAUAGUUGAGCAAAAAUAGUAAACCAUUAUACUGUCAGUUUUGAAGCCACCAAAAGAAAUUUAACUUAACAUUUUAAAUAAUUAGUGCUAAUUAAUUAUUUAACUUAAAAAUUUGGGGGCCAGGUACAGUGGCUCACGCCUGUAACCCCAGCACUUUGGGAGGCUGAGGUGGGCAGAUCAUGAGGUCAGGAGUUGGAGACCAGCCUGGCCAACAUGAUGAAACCCUGUCUUUACUAAAAAUACAAAAAUUAGCCAGGCAUGAUGGCGUGCACCUGUAAUCCCAGCUACUCAGGAGGCUGAGGCAGGGGAAUCGCUUGGACCCAGGAGGUGGAGGUUGCUGAGCUGAGAUCGUGCCACUGCCCUCCCGCCUAGGCAACAGAGUGAGACUCUGUCUCAAAAAAAUAAAU